rnacentral:rRNA from 1 species
UACGGGGGAUGCAAGCGUUAUCCGGAUUUAUUGGGUUUAAAGGGUGCGUAGGCGGGCUUUUAAGUCAGCGGUAAAAAUUCGGGGCUCAACCCCGUCCGGCCGUUGAAACUGGGGGCCUUGAGUGGGCGAGAAGAAGGCGGAAUGCGUGGUGUAGCGGUGAGAUGCAUAGAUAUCACGCAGAACCCCGAUUGCGAAGGCAGCCUUCCGGCGCCCUACUGACGCUGAGGCACGAAAGUGCGGGGAUCGAACAGG